UACGUAGGGGGCGAGCGUUGUCCGGAUUUAUUUGGGCGUAAAGAGCUCGUAGGCGGUUCGAUAAGUCGGACGUGAAAUCUCCACGCUCAACGUGGAGGGGCCGUUCGAUACUGUCGUGACUCGAGUCCGGUAGGGGAGUGUGGAAUUCCCGGUGUAGCGGUGAAAUGCGCAGAUAUCAGGAGGAACACCGGUGGCGAAGGCGACUCUUUGGCCUGUAACUGACGUG
rnacentral:rRNA from 1 species